GUAGUUAUUGAUGAAGAACUGAUGAAUUAUAUUCUUGAUGGUCUUAAUUUUGAAUAUGAUGCUGCUGUGGUAAAUAUAACU